GACGAACCGUGCGAACGUUGUUCGGAAUCACUGGGCUUAAAGGGCGCGUAGGCGGGCUGCCAAGUCUGGGGUGAAAUCCCACGGCUCAACCGUGGAACUGCCUCGGAUACUGGCGGCCUCGAGGGGGGUAGGGGCGUGCGGAACUGUGGGUGGAGCGGUGAAAUGCGUUGAUAUCCACAGGAACUCCGGUGGCGAAGGCGGCACGCUGGACCACUUCUGACGCUGAGGCGCGAAAGCCAGGGGAGCAAACGGG
rnacentral:rRNA from 1 species